UGCUAGUAACACCUUCCUAAUGGAUUAUUUCUUAUAGGUUGAUUGGGAGCCCUGAACACACUGAGUCUGCUUCAAGCAAGAUGAGCAGUUCUCACUUCAUGGGCACCUCUUCACUUCCUGCUAGAGCCUUCCAGCAUGACAUCAUAGAGUGAUCACUGCCUUCACUUCCUUUGGCUGAAGCCCAUCUGCUGUAUCUUCUUUGAAGGCAAAGAAGCUAUUUUAAUAAAGCCCAAGGAGGUUAUGCAAAAGGCUGCCAAACAGAUAUCAUCUCUUACGGUACCAAAAAGGUGAAGAACCCCUAGUCUAGAAGGAUUCCAUUCAAAGAAAAUUCA
rnacentral:lncRNA from 1 species